AUGUUCAGGCAGAGCCGCGCUCAGCCGCGAGGCUCGGCGCAGCCCUCGCCGAGUGUCAUUUCCUGCUCGAGACAUUCCCGAGGAGCAGCGCCGGGCGGCAGCCGGCCGACUACGCCGCAGCAGAGGAUGACGAACUUGCUGCUCGCGGCCGUCCUGGCGCUCCGUUUCGGCCUGGGAACUGCCGAGACAGAAGAAGAGAUAACGGAGUUUCUAUACGACUACGCGUCCCGCUUUGGCGACUACUUAUACGCGACCGUAGAAUAUUACUCCGAGAACACUACGUUAAUACCGACCAUGUACUCCUACGAGGAGGAAUACCAGGAGUCGGUGGGAUCUCCCCUGCAAGGCCACCUCCCUCUCGCCAUCCUCCUCACCCUCCUGGGCUUCGUGCUAUAACUCCCCGUUUUCCUCCUUAGACGYGGCGACCGGGAUGGGAAAACACCCCACUGCCACCCCGCGUCCUCCGAACGGAGCCGUCCCCUCCGGAUCCAGCACAAUCGCGACUUUAUACACAAAGUUUUCAAUAGCUUGACGGUGCUGCCCAGAGCCGAGCGCCUCGUGCACACGCCGCAGAGCUUUGUCCUGCCUAGGGCCCUUCCUAUUUCCGCUUAUUCUCUUGUAAAUAGGAACCGCUGCCAAUAAAAUUGCUAACAACUGACUACCGGUCUCA
rnacentral:lncRNA from 1 species